GGUUUCUAUUAGCUGUGUUUCCCUUUCAUACUAUCCUGAGGUUGGAAAGUCGGGAACCUAACUAUCAAUCAAUGGGGGACCAUCUGUGUACGGCUUAAAACUCCCCCAGAAUUUUUCACAUGAAGCAUACCACAGCUCUCACUGUGUUUCAAUUCAGAGUCAAGGAGGUCACAGUUUUCACCACGUCCCGUGUCUCAUCAGAGCAUCGUUGACACUGCAUUUCUCAAACAACCGCAGCACACCACACACCUCAAAGCUCAGCCACUGACUACAGCCAGCUGACUCCCACUCCAGGAAUGCGGCUACCCAAGUCUGAUGCCUGCCCAGCCCGUUCCUUCCACAGAACCAGUUGGAUCCACAGAAGACAGAUGAAUGGCUCCUUCAUUGGAAGGAGUUUUCCCCCAAGACGCUUGUUAACCACCCUGCGAGUUGGUAUGACAGAGUCAGGCACGUAAACCUAGAAUACAGCAUGCUCAGAAGAUGGAAGGCACACAAACGCUCUUUUGCUCCGCCUUGGCCCUUUUCCUCUACAGCAGGACAUGAGAUUUCCAUUCCAGAGGCACCCUCCUACGCCUACUGUUGAAUGAUAUUUUGUUUGUGUUCUGAUAAGUAAAGCUCGCCUGGAGAUCAGAGGAUGGAGCUAGCCACACGUUAACUGCAGAGGCCAGGUGGUGGUGGCUCACACCUUUAAUCCCAGCACUCGGGAGGUGGAGACAGAUCUUGGCCUCUCGUCUGAGGAUCCAUAGAGACUAAUUAGGAUCACACUUCAAUCUACCACGAAGGAACAUCUUUACUUCUGAAGGGAGGUACCACUGCAGAAGGAAUUUGCGGACAAGGAAGACAGUUUCAUUCUGCUUUCCAUAAAACUUCGAUUCUUAAGGGGAGCGGGGGCCUCCUAAGCCCUCCCACUCUUUCACCCCCAGGAAGAUCGUCUACAGGAGAAUUUAUCUUCAAGGUAGAAACAGGUUUUUCGACACCUGCAUGGUUCCCAAGGGUCCUGAGCCUUCCUGUCUGAGUGUGAAGGUGUGCCAUGCCAUCGGGGAGAUCUCAGCUGCUCCUUCUGGUGAUGUGAUCCAUGGCGAGACCUGCAGGAGCUCAACUGAUGAUGUGCAGGCCAAGGAAGGAGUCCUGCACUUUUCAGAAUGACCCUGCUGGGUUAUGCACACUGACCCGACGGGAGAGGCAGAGCAUGCUGAGUGCAGUUGGCUGCAGGUGGGAGAAGAGUCAGCCGCAAUCAUGAAUGCACGGAGGUGGAGUGUGUCGUCACACGCAGAGCCAGGAGGUGUGAUCCAGAAGGUGUGUGUGUGGGGGGGAGUUAAUACCAUAUGUCGUUCGGCUGUGGUGGGGCUGGCUGCUUUCAUGUCACAACAACGUGUUCCUCUCAAACGGCUCCAACACCGCCCCACCCCCACCCCCAACACCACUACCCUCUGCCAGACCCACAUGA